GACGAACGCUGGCGGCGUGCCUAAUACAUGCAAGUUGAGCGAUGAAGAUUGGUGCUUGCACCAAUUUGAAGAGCAGCGAACGGGUGAGUAACGCGUGGGGAAUCUGCCUUUGAGCGGGGGACAACAUUUGGAAACGAAUGCUAAUACCGCAUAACAACUUUAAACAUAAGUUUUAAGUUUGAAAGAUGCAAUUGCAUCACUCAAAGAUGAUCCCGCGUUGUAUUAGCUAGUUGGUGAGGUAAAGGCUCACCAAGGCGAUGAUACAUAGCCGACCUGAGAGGGUGAUCGGCCACAUUGGGACUGGGACACGGCCCAAACUCCUACGGGAGGCAGCAGUAGGGAAUCUUCGGCAAUAGACGAAAGUCUGACCGAGCCACGCCGCGGGAGUGAAGAAGGUUUUCGGAUCGUAAAACUCUGUUGGUAGAGAAGAACGUUAGUGGGAGUGGAAAGCUCAUCAAGUGACGGUAACUACCCAGAAAGGGACGGCUAACUACGUG
rnacentral:rRNA from 1 species